rnacentral:rRNA from 1 species
UAACGCGUGAGCAACCUGUCCCUUACAGGGGGAUAACACAGCGAAAGUUGUACUAAUACCGCAUAAGACCACAGAGUCACAUGGCUUAGGGGUCAAAGGAGCAAUCCGGUAAGUGGUGGGCUCGCGUCCGAUUAGAUAGUUGGUGAGGUAACGGCCCACCAAGUCGACGAUCGGUAGCCGACCUGAGAGGGUGAUCGGCCACAUUGGGACUGAGACACGGCCCAAACUCCUACGGGAGGCAGCAGUGGGGAAUAUUGGGCAAUGGGGGAAACCCUGACCCAGCAACGCCGCGUGAGGGAAGAAGGUUUUCGGAUCGUAAACCUCUGUCCUAGGUGAAGAGAAAGAGACGGUAGCCUAGGGGGAAGCCCCGGCUAACUACGUGCCAGCAGCCGCGGUAAUACGUAGGGGGCGAGCGUUGUCCGGAAUGAUUGGGCGUAAAGGGCGCGUAGGCGGCCCGGUAAGUCUGAAGUGAAAGUCCUGCGUUCAACGUGGGAAUUGCUUUGGAUACUGUCGGGCUUGAGUGCAGGAGAGGUAAGUGGAAUUCCCAGUGUAGCGGUGAAAUGCGUAGAGAUUGGGAGGAACACCAGUGGCGAAGGCGACUUACUGGACUGUAACUGACGCUGAGGCGCGAAAGUGUGGGGAGCAAACAGGAUUAGAUACCCUGGUAGUCCACACUGUAAACGAUGAGUGCUAGGUGUAGGGGGUAUCGACCCCUUCUGUGCCGCAGUUAACACAAUAAGCAUUCCGCCUGGGGAGUACGGCCGCAAGGUUGAAACUCAAAGGAAUUGACGGGGGCCCGCACAAGCAGCGGAGCAUGUGGUUUAAUUCGACGCAACGCGAAGAACCUUACCAGGUCUUGACAUCCAGUUAAAC